rnacentral:rRNA from 1 species
GAUGAACGCUGGCGGCGUGCCUAAUACAUGCAAGUCGAGCGAACAGACGAGGAGCUUGCUCCUCUGACGUUAGCGGCGGACGGGUGAGUAACACGUGGAUAACCUACCUAUAAGACUGGGAUAACUUCGGGAAACCGGAGCUAAUACCGGAUAAUAUAUUGAACCGCAUGGUUCAAUAGUGAAAGACGGUUUUGCUGUCACUUAUAGAUGGAUCCGCGCCGCAUUAGCUAGUUGGUAAGGUAACGGCUUACCAAGGCGACGAUGCGUAGCCGACCUGAGAGGGUGAUCGGCCACACUGGAACUGAGACACGGUCCAGACUCCUACGGGAGGCAGCAGUAGGGAAUCUUCCGCAAAGGGCGAAAGCCUGACGGAGCGACGCCGCGUGAGUGAUGAAGGUCUUCGGAUCGUAAAACUCUGUUAUUAGGGAAGAACAAAUGUGUAAGUAACUAUGCACGUCUUGACGGUACCUAAUCAGAAAGCCACGGCUAACUACGUG